rnacentral:rRNA from 1 species
AGCGAACGCUGGCGGCAUGCCUAACACAUGCAAGUCGAACGAUCCCUUCGGGGAUAGUGGCGCACGGGUGCGUAACGCGUGGGAACCUGCCCUUAGGUUCGGAAUAACUCAGAGAAAUUUGAGCUAAUACCGGAUAAUGUCUUCGGACCAAAGAUUUAUCGCCUUUGGAUGGGCCCGCGUUGGAUUAGCUAGUUGGUGGGGUAAAGGCCUACCAAGGCGACGAUCCAUAGCUGGUCUGAGAGGAUGAUCAGCCACACUGGGACUGAGACACGGCCCAGACUCCUACGGGAGGCAGCAGUGGGGAAUAUUGGACAAUGGGCGAAAGCCUGAUCCAGCAAUGCCGCGUGAGUGAUGAAGGCCUGAGGGUUGUAAAGCUCUUUUACCCGGGAUGAUAAUGACAGUACCGGGAGAAUAAGCCCCGGCUAACUCCG